rnacentral:piRNA from 2 species
UGGUGCUAUUUAAGAUUCAGGAGUGAU